rnacentral:rRNA from 1 species
UACGUAGGGUGCGAGCGUUAAUCGGAAUUACUGGGCGUAAAGCGUGCGCAGGCGGUUCGUUAAGUCAGCUGUGAAAGCCCCGGGCUUAACCGUGGGAAUGGCGGUUGAAACUGGCGAAACUUGAAUCUGGCAGAGGGGGGUGGAAUUCCACGUGUAGCAGUGAAAUGGCGUAGGAGAUGUGGAGGAACACCGAUGGCGAAGG